AGAAGAUGAGAGAGUGAGUAGUAGAGGUGAUUGAGAAGUUUGUUAAGAAAUUGGUUAGGAGGGAAUAUCUCUCUGGUCGGAGUCUUAGACUCUGGGGUGUUACCGUUUCUCCAUUGUAUUGUAGAGCUAUUGAGCUCACAUUUUCAUCAAAUAAUAUACAGUUUUGUCUUAAUUGAAAUUAUGGGUUCUAUCAACAUACAAGAGUGGGGAUUAUCUGAUGGACUCGUUG
rnacentral:lncRNA from 1 species